rnacentral:rRNA from 1 species
CUACGUGCCAGCAGCCGCGGUAAUACGGGGGGUGCGAGCGUUAAUCGGAAUAACUGGGCGUAAAGGGCACGCAGGCGGUGACUUAAGUGAGAUGUGAAAGCCCCGGGCUUAACCUGGGAAUUGCAUUUCAUACUGGGUCGCUAGAGUACUUUAGGGAGGGGUAGAAUUCCACGUGUAGCGGUGAAAUGCGUAGAGAUGUGGAGGAAUACCGAAGGCGAAGGCAGCCCCUUGGGAAUGUACUGACGCUCAUGUGCGAAAGCGUGGGGAGCAAACAGGAUUAGAUACCCUGGUAGUCCACGCUGUAAACGAUGUCGAUUUGGGGGUUGAGCUUUAAGCUUGGCGCCCGUAGCUAACGUGAUAAAUCGACCGCCUGGGGAGUACGGCCGCAAGGUUAAAACUCAAAUGAAUUGACGGGGGCCCGCACAAGCGGUGGAGCAUGUGGUUUAAUUCGAUGCAACGCGAAGAACCUUACCUACUCUUGACAUCCAGAGAACAUUC